GAUGAACGCUGGCGGCGUGCCUAAUACAUGCAAGUCGAGCGAACAGACGAGGAGCUUGCUCCUCUGACGUUAGCGGCGGACGGGUGAGUAACACGUGGAUAACCUACCUAUAAGACUGGGAUAACUUCGGGAAACCGGAGCUAAUACCGGAUAAUAUAUUGAACCGCAUGGUUCAAUAGUGAAAGACGGUUUUGCUGUCACUUAUAGAUGGAUCCGCGCCGCAUUAGCUAGUUGGUAAGGUAACGGCUUACCAAGGCAACGAUGCGUAGCCGACCUGAGAGGAGGGUCGGCCACACUGGAACUGAGACACGGUCCAGACUCCUACGGGAGGCAGCAGUAGGGAAUCUUCCGCAAUGGGCGAAAGCUUGACGGAGCAACGCCGCGUGAGUGAUGAAGGUCUUCGGAUCGUAAAACUCUGUUAUUAGGGAAGAACAAAUGUGUAAGUAACUAUGCACGUCUUGACGGUACCUAAUCAGAAAGCCACGGCUAACUACGUG
rnacentral:rRNA from 1 species